rnacentral:rRNA from 1 species
CCUACGGGUGACAGCAGUGGGGAAUAUUGCGCAAUGGGCGAAAGCCUGACGCAGCGACGCCGCGUGAGGGAUGAAGGUCUUCGGAUCGUAAACCUCUGUCAGCAGGGAAGAACGGUCACUGUGCUAAUCAGCAGUGAAUUGACGGUACCUGCAAAGGAAGCACCGGCUAACUCCGUGCCAGCAGCCGCGGUAAUACGGAGGGGGCGAGCGUUAACCGGAAUUACGGGGCGUAAAGCGCUCGUAGGCGGUAUGUCAAGUCAAGUGUGAAAUCCCCGCGCUCAACCUGGGAACUGCCUUUGAAACUGGCAAACUGGAGUGUGUGAGAGGAUAGUGGAAUUCCAGGUGUAGCGGUGAAAUCCGUAGAUAUCUGGAGGAACAUCAGUGGCGAAGGCGACUAUCUGGCACAUAACUGACGCUGAGGCGCGAAAGCGUGGGUAGCAAACAGGAUUAGAUACCCUGGUAGUC